rnacentral:rRNA from 1 species
CCUACGGGUGGCUGCAGUCGAGGAUCUUCGGCAAUGGGCGCAAGCCUGACCGAGCGACGCCGCGUGCGGGAUGAAGGCCUUCGGGUUGUAAACCGCUGUCAGUGGGGAGGAAGGCUCCGUGAAGAACGGGGUUUGACCUAUCCGCAGAGGAAGUACGGGCUAAGUUCGUGCCAGCAGCCGCGGUAAGACGAACCGUACUAACGUUAUUCGGAAUCACUGGGCUUCGAGGGUGCGUAGGCGGUCCGGUAGGGAAAUACCUCAGCUCAACUGAGGAAUUGCGCCCGAUACUGUCGGACUUGAGGGAGACAGAGGUGAGCGGAACUUAGGGUGGAGCGGUGAAAUGCGUUGAUAUCCUAAGGAACACCAGGGGCGAAAGCGGCUCACUGGGUCUCUUCUGACGCUGAGGCACGAAAGCUAGGGGAGCGAAGAGGAUUAGAUACCCGGGUAGUC